GAUGAACGCUGGCGGCGUGCUUAACACAUGCAAGUCGAACGGGAAACCUUUUAUUGCAGCUUCGGCAGAUUUAGCUGGUUUCUAGUGGCGGACGGGUGAGUAACGCGUGGGUAACCUGCCUUAUACAGGGGGAUAACAGUCAGAAAUGGCUGCUAAUACCGCAUAAGCGCACAGAGCUGCAUGGCUCAGUGGGAAAAACUCCGGUGGUAUAAGAUGGACCCGCGUUGGAUUAGCUGGUUGGUGGGGUAACGGCCCACCAAGGCGACGAUCCAUAGCCGGCCUGAGAGGGUGAACGGCCACAGUGGGACUGAGACACGGCCCAGACUCCUACGGGAGGCAGCAGUGGGGAAUAUUGCACAAUGGGGGAAACCCUGAUGCAGCGACGCCGCGUGAAGGAAGAAGUAUCUCGGUAUGUAAACUUCUAUCAGCAGGGAAGAUAAUGACGGUACCUGACGAAGAAGCCCCGGCUAACUACGUG
rnacentral:rRNA from 1 species